UGCCUGCAUGUGGCCGGUGCUCAGGAGACAUUUGUUGGGUAGAUAAAUUGUCAUUUAAUUAUUACUGCAUCCCCGUGAAGGGGUGGGCAGGGGGCGUUGUCCCCUUUUUACAGGUAAAGACUAAAUCAUGAAAGGUUCAGCGUCCUGCCCAAGAUCCCUGAGCUCUGAGGGGGUGGGACACGCAUCCAGGUCACAACCCUGGGGCACGUGUCCUCUGUCGUCCAGGAGUUUAGUCUAGUUGGAGUGGAAACUGGGUGUGCACUGUGGUUAGUACAGUGAUGGGCAUGGGCACAUGGGAGGACACCAAGGAGGGUGCCUGGCCAAGCCUCAGAGGGGAAAAGUUAGGGGAAGACCAGGAGGGCUUCCUGGAGGAGGCGGUGUCCCAGCUGCAUCUUCGUUUGCCCAAACAUGUGAACGAAUCCCUGGGAUUCGUGCGGCAUCUGUGCCAGUGAAAUCCAGGAAACGCCCAGCCUAUUGGGCAGGUUCGCUUUCUCUGAACGUGACAAGCGAGGGCGAAGACAUGGCCGAACGCAGAGCUGAAACCUCAAACCGUGCAGGGCGUGGGGACGGGUGUGCCUCGCCGGGACACCUGUGGCCAGCUCUGCUGUCACGUUUGGCGGCGGCUCGGUAAACAGGAGGGCAGACACGGGCAGUGUUACCUGUUGGAGGCGCCGGCAGCCAGACCCUGCAGAUCACGCUCGGGUUCAAGUCUCAGUAGAUGCUCGUUGAGAGAAAGACACGAAACGAAAGACGUUCCAGGAGCCACGGGAGGGAGCGGCCCCGAGGACGCACGGGUGGAAGCCGAGGGCUUGGCCACGGCCUGGCCGGGGAGACCACUUGGCAUCUGGCCUCCCGCUAAGUACACUCCGCCCCCUGUUCCCAGGGAGCGCUGAGCUGGACAGGAGACUUUUUGUUCCUCUUUGAUUUUUCGGCAAAGCCCAGUGCCCAUCACCCUUUUAACCCCUACCAGGGGAUAUCACAUUUUCGGGUGCGUCAUCUUCUGUGUGGGGCGGUUUUACAAGAUGAGCCGAUAAGGUGCCCGGGCCGCCGGGAGUUACGUAACCCAUUGUGCGUCCGGGGCAGGUCCUGGGCUCAGGAUUUGCCCCGACAGGCAGGCUGGGAAAGCGCUGAGGAAGCGUGGGAGUGGCGGUGCCGAGGCUGCCCGGCUGGGCUCCUGCGGAGAAGAGCCCCUUCCCUCUCGGCAUCGCCUGUAGAGUGUCUUUCUGCACAUGGCCUUGGUGUUUCCGGACAGGCAGCCCGUGGGGGCCCGGCCUCGGCCAGGCCUGUGCCAGGGCGAGCCCGCGUGGACAGACUCUGGUGUUACCAACUAUAGAGCGGGCUCUUAAUGGUGCCUCACUGGAUGGCUGCGAAGAUUACAUGAGUUCCUACUUGCAGAGUCCUCAGCAUGCUGUGGGCAUGUAAGGCUGGCUCACCAUUGUGAGAUGCUGCAGCUUGCACUGGGCGUGGUGGGGCCGAGGCCGCGGGGUGUGGCCUCGAGCACAGGCUGGCCAGCUGCUGCACCUGCUGGGGAGGCACAAUUCGCUUCUCUGCUCGCCUAAUGCAGUGGUUCUCAACCUUCCCAAUGCCGCGACCCUUUAAUACAGUUCCUCAUGUUGUGGUG